rnacentral:misc_RNA from 1 species
UUUCCGAAUAUUUUGGGCCCAUCAAAAUCCGUUUGCUGCUUUUUACGCCAAUGGAGAAUCUUAUUCUUAUGGAAUGGAGGUUUAUUUUGUGAAUAUUAAUCUAGCUGCAAAUGUUUGACAAAUCAAGUAGUUUGAAUUAACUGAUGCUCAUUUACGAAUGUUCAAUCUUCUUGUGAGUGUGUAUGUCACUGUAUGUCUGUUUUAAGAAUGUGUGCUAAUAUAAUGUUCUUUUAUAAUUUAUUUCUGUUUAUAUGUUUUUUACAGUUUCAUUUUUCUCCUUUGAUGAAGCAAUGUUUUCUUGAAUUUAAUGCGUUGUCUCCAUUACAUUGUUUUGUUCCAUUUCUAUUGUUUCCUUUCAAUAAUACAUUCUGUUACUACAAAUAUAAUUUCAUUUUUCAUGUCAUUUUAGGAUGAAGAGUCCAUGACAAAAUGUGGCAUCAGUCACAAUAAAAUUUGCGAUAC